UACGAAGGGGGCUAGCGUUGCUCGGAAUCACUGGGCGUAAAGGGUGCGUAGGCGGGUCUUUAAGUCAGGGGUGAAAUCCUGGAGCUCAACUCCAGAACUGCCUUUGAUACUGAAGAUCUUGAGUUCGGGAGAGGUGAGUGAACUGCGAGUGUAGAGGUGAAAUUCGUAGAUAUUCGCAAGAACACCAGUGGCGAAGGCGGCUCACUGGCCCGAUACUGACGCUGAGGCACGAAAGCGUGGGGAGCAAACAGG
rnacentral:rRNA from 1 species